UACGUAGGGUGCAAGCGUUUGUCCGGAAUUAUUGGGCGUAAAGAGCUUGUAGGCGGUUUGUCGCGUCUGCUGUGAAAUUUCGGGGCUCAACCCCGAACUUGCAGUGGGUACGGGCAGACUAGAGUGUGGUAGGGGGAGACUGGAAUUCCUGGUGUAGCGGUGAAAUGCGCAGAUAUCAGGAGGAACACCGGUGGCGAAGGCGGGUCUCUGGGCCGAAACUGACGCUGAGGAGCGAAAGCGUGGGGAGCAAACAGG
rnacentral:rRNA from 1 species